AACGAACGCUGGCGGCAGGCUUAACACAUGCAAGUCGAGCGCAUCCUUCGGGGUGAGCGGCAGACGGGUGAGUAACGCGUGGGAACGUACCCUUUCCUACGGAAUAGCUCCGGGAAACUGGAAUUAAUAACGUAUACGCCCUUAGGGGGAAAGAUUUAUCGGGGAAGGAUCGGCCCGCGUUGGAUUAGCUAGUUGGUGGGGUAAGGCCUACCAAGGCGACGAUCCAUAGCUGGUCUGAGAGGAUGAUCAGCCACAUUGGGACUGAGACACGGCCCAAACUCCUACGGGAGGCAGAAGUGGGGAAUAUUGGACAAUGGGCGCAAGCCUGAUCCAGCCAUGCCGCGUGAGUGAUGAAGGCCUUAGGGUUGUAAAGCUCUUUCAGUAGGGAAGAUAAUGACGGUACCUACAGAAAAAGCCCCGGCUAACUUCGUGCCAGCCGCCGCCGUAA
rnacentral:rRNA from 1 species